rnacentral:rRNA from 1 species
GUGAACGCUGGCGGUAGGCCUAACACAUGCAAGUCGAACGGCAGCACAGUAAGAGCUUGCUCUUACGGGUGGCGAGUGGCGGACGGGUGAGGAAUACAUCGGAAUCUACUUUUUCGUGGGGGAUAACGUAGGGAAACUUACGCUAAUACCGCAUACGACCUACGGGUGAAAGCAGGGGAUCUUCGGACCUUGCGCGAUUGAAUGAGCCGAUGUCGGAUUAGCUAGUUGGCGGAGUAAAGGCCCACCAAGGCGACGAUCCGUAGCUGGUCUGAGAGGAUGAUCAGCCACACUGGAACUGAGACACGGUCCAGACUCCUACGGGAGGCAGCAGUGGGGAAUAUUGGACAAUGGGCGCAAGCCUGAUCCAGCCAUACCGCGUGGGUGAAGAAGGCCUUCGGGUUGUAAAGCCCUUUUGUUGGGAAAGAAAAGCAGCAGGUUAAUACCCCGCUGUUCUGACGGUACCCAAAGAAUAAGCACCGGCUAACUUCGUG